AUUGAACGCUGGCGGCAGGCCUAACACAUGCAAGUCGAGCGGAUGAAGGGAGCUUGCUCCUGGAUUCAGCGGCGGACGGGUGAGUAAUGCCUAGGAAUCUGCCUGGUAGUGGGGGAUAACGUCCGGAAACGGGCGCUAAUACCGCAUACGUCCUGAGGGAGAAAGUGGGGGAUCUUCGGACCUCACGCUAUCAGAUGAGCCUAGGUCGGAUUAGCUAGUUGGUGGGGUAAAGGCCUACCAAGGCGACGAUCCGUAACUGGUCUGAGAGGAUGAUCAGUCACGCUGGAACUGAGACACGGUCCAGACUCCUACGGGAGGCAGCAGUGGGGAAUAUUGGACAAUGGGCGAAAGCCUGAUCCAGCCAUGCCGCGUGUGUGAAGAAGGUCUUCGGAUUGUAAAGCACUUUAAGUUGGGAGGAAGGGCAGUAAGUUAAUACCUUGCUGUUUUGACGUUACCAACAGAAUAGGCACCGGCUAACUUCGUG
rnacentral:rRNA from 1 species